GACAGAGGGUGCAAACGUUGUUCGGAAUUACUGGGCGUAAAGCGAGUGUAGGCGGUCUGCUAAGUCGGGUGUGAAAGCCCCGGGCUCAACCCGGGAAGUGCACUCGAAACUGGCAGGCUAGAGUACUGGAGAGGUUGGUGGAAUUCUCGGUGUAGAGGUGAAAUUCGUAGAUAUCGAGAGGAACACCGGUGGCGAAGGCGGCCAACUGGACAGAUACUGACGCUGAGACUCGAAAGCGUGGGGAGCAAACAGG
rnacentral:rRNA from 2 species